rnacentral:rRNA from 1 species
UACGGGGGGAGCAAGCGUUGUUCGGAUUUACUGGGCGUAAAGGGCGCGUAGGCGGCGCAACAAGUCACUUGUGAAAUCUCCGGGCUUAACCCGGAGCGGUCAAGUGAUACUGUCGUGCUAGAGUGCGGAAGGGGCUACUGGAAUUCUCGGUGUAGCGGUGAAAUGCGUAGAUAUCGAGAGGAACACCUGCGGCGAAGGCGGGUUGCUGGGCUGACACUGACGCUGAAGCGCGAAAGCUAGGGGAGCGAACGGG